UACGAAGGGGGCUAGCGUUGCUCGGAAUCACUGGGCGUAAAGCGCACGUAGGCGGAUCUCUAAGUCGGGGGUGAAAGCCCGGAGCUCAACUCCGGAACUGCCUUCGAUACUGGAGAUCUCGAGUUCGGGAGAGGUGAGUGGAACUGCGAGUGUAGAGGUGAAAUUCGUAGAUAUUCGCAAGAACACCAGUGGCGAAGGCGGCUCACUGGCCCGAUACUGACGCUGAGGUG
rnacentral:rRNA from 1 species